rnacentral:rRNA from 1 species
UACGGAGGAUGCAAGCGUUAUCCGGAUUCAUUGGGUUUAAAGGGUGCGCAGGCGGAAUGAUAAGUCAGUGGUGAAAUCCUACAGCUCAACUGUAGAACUGCCAUUGAUACUGUUGUUCUUGAGUACAUUUGUAGUGGGCGGAAUGUGUCAUGUAGCGGUGAAAUGCUUAGAGAUGACACAGAACACCGAUCGCGAAGGCAGCUCACUAAACUGUAACUGACGCUCAGGCACGAAAGCGUGGGGAU